rnacentral:lncRNA from 1 species
ACGUAUCCUCGUACUCGUAUCCAAAAUUCAGAUCCCUUUUAGCCGUAUCCCCUUAUCUUAAUUUUUAUAAUGAGAAGAAUCUGACUCCUAGAUAUGUACCCGUAUCCGACACCCGCACCCGAGUCCAAGCAACAUAGUGUGAUGCUAUAAAAAUGAAUAAUUAUUAAAGAAUUUAAUUGACGCGUCCUGUUAGUACUUUUUUUAAAAAUCGCAUGUUGACGUGUUCGAUAUAUGUCAGUGUCAGUGCAUCAUAUCUCCUGAGUAACUACCUUCCUUAGGUACUGGCUUUAAAUUCAUAUAAUCAAUUCCAGCUCAUUGUUCCUUCUUUAUCCACCUGUAAACCCUCAUUGUUCCUUCUUUAUCCACCUGUAAACCAUGCAAAUAUAGUGUCGUUACAUUCGAGGCAUAGGAACAUAAAUAAAUCUGAGCGUUUUCCUCUC